ACAGCCAUAUCACAUUGAAACACUGGUUCUCAUAUGAUCACUGAAAUUAAGUAGCAUCGAGCCUGUUCUGUACAUAGAUGGGUGACUGCUUGGGAUGUGCAGAUGGUGUA